ensembl:snoRNA small nucleolar RNA SNORD49
UUCAGUGAUGAGAAGUGCUGCAUAGGAAGUGCCGUCUGACACGAUAACUGACGAUGGCACAAGCUGCUCUGAGA